CAUGACUGGGGUCUUCAUUGUUGCGGGGUCUUGGCAACAACUUUUCUAGCUUCUUGGACUUAUCACGUGAGAUGACAUGCAGUAAUUUCAUGGCUCAGCAAGAAAGGACUUUCAUCCAAAUGAGGACAGUUCUCAAAGUUGUGGACAAUUCAGAUACAAAGAACGUUAUGUGCAUUCAAGCUCUAAAGGGGGAAAAGGUCAAGAUUGGGGGGC
rnacentral:misc_RNA from 1 species